CUGCUAAAAACCCUACAUUGCUCAGGACAGCCCCCAUAACAGGGAUUCUCCUACCCCAACUGUCAAUAGAGCUGAAAUCGAGAUAUCCUGUACUAAAUGAAUUUCAGAGAUGAGAAGGGAAAUUCAUUCUGGGGUCAACCAUUCUGCUCCCCUUGGAAGAGACAGAAUAAUAACGACCCAGACCAGGAAGUCUAUUUUACAAAGGCAAAGGGCUGUCACAAGCAUUGUUUGAUUCAAGGCUCACAAUAACCCCAAAAAGAUAGAUACGAUGAUACUAGUACCGAUAUGGAAACAGAGACUCUGAGAGCAGGUAAGACCCUCCCAGGGUCACAGACGCCGGAAGUGGGCGGGGGCAAGGCCGGAAGCCAGAUCUUCCGAUUGCAAGGCCCUUGUCAUCGACACUCCAGCUUCUCCCGGUUCUGCGGCCAGGCCCUGGAACGAGAGCCGCCUGAAUCUGGGGAAGGAGGGACCCAUGACCGUUUAGAUGAGAGACAACCUCCCCGCUACCUAAAAUAAAUUAGGCACUAAAUCCCACUUCACUGGGUCUCGCUGAUCAAAGGAAAGGAUCAUCAGGAAAAACAAAUCCUGGGGCUUGGGAACCACUUCAGCAUGAGUGUGAAAUUUUAACCGAGAGUGUUCCGCUGGGCAGAUGGGCGGCAGUGAGCGAGGGCGGUCAGCUCGCGGCUGACACCAGUUGACAAGUUUGUGGACGCUGGGGAUGAUCCGACAACUUGCUCAGAGUUGAGACUAUGUUCGGUUUCUCCUUGAGGAGAAAACAGUCUUCUUGCUGCCCGUCCCCAGGUGCCUACAGGCAGUGCGUAGCUGGUUUUCCAGCAGAACUGGCAAAGGACCGUGAGCUGCUACCUCCCAGCUCCUGGCACUGGGGUGACCAGGCCCAGAGGGGCCUGACUUAGCCAGAGGGUUCGUAACGUUCCAUUCUGUGAGGUCUUCUGCAGAAGCGAAGGGUCAAUCCCAUGCCACCUUCUCUUCUUCAUCCUCACACUUUGCCAAAAGACUUCCAUGUGCGUGCAUAUUAACUUUGAGUGUAAUUACAACUGGUCUUAUGAGGCUAAUUGAGUCAUUAUUUGCCGAACACCUGCCCUGUGCUGGAGAUGCAAUGGGCUGAUGUGAACAGCUCCGAUCUUCGGGUGACGAGAUCAAGGCCUGACACUCCGGGUUCACCUGUCAGCGGGGCUCAGCUGGGCUGAAGAUGCCACUUUCCUCUAGUUCGUGAGUUCUGUGCUUGAGCGGCGUCUUAGAAUCACCCGAGGACCUUUGAGAAAUGCCAGGGUCCGGGACAUACCCCCAGAGAUUGCGAUUCAGUUGCUGGGAUGGACCUCGGCAUCCGUGUUGUUACAGCGCUCCCAGCGGAUUUCCAUGCAUGGCUUUGGUGGAGGACACAACUCGAGCUACAGCCAGAGAACCAGAGGGCUGGGCUCUACUUGAAUUUUACCUAGGAGGCACCAGAAGCUCAGAGAGGGGUAAAUCUCACGGAAGGUCACACAGCAAGUGGGAAGCCCAGCCUGGAUGAGCCCUCUAGAGUGCCUAUGGGGCUGUUUCCUUGGGCACGGGGAACUUUCUCUUGAAACCCCUCAGCCCAUCAACUCGAAGGCAAGAUACCUUUUAGACAGAGGGAGGGUGGCCACCCAGGCUGAGCCUCGGAGCCCCUGCACCCUGCCCACCCUGAUGGAGGGACAGCCGGAACUUCCUCCAGGCUCACAGAUACCUCUGUCUCCCUUCCACUCUGUGCCCUCACGACCCCUUUGUUGGAGCAUGGCUGAGUCGCCGUGGCCCAUGAUGGAGCUGGGGCCGCUUGGGGACAAGAGACCAUCUCUGAGUCUGGAACCUAGUCAUGGGCAGCCUCUUCUGGAUUUGAGUUUCUGGAGCCUUGUGGAGAAAAGGCCACACUUCACAGCCCACAGAAGCGAGGAGAGGCCUCAGUUAUCUGCCCCGGCAUACCCAUUCCUGGCGGGGGAUUAGAACACUCCCACCCAAGUGGGACUCCAUGAUGGAUGUCGAGAAGCAACCAAAUGUCCCUCAUUAAUCACCAGCCCCAUCUGGCUCCCCGCCUGAUGGUUUUCAGCUGACUUGAAAAAGACCCAAUUAGAUGAAAACAUUUUGACAAUUUAUCUUGUGGCAUGAACAGGUCCAGAUUGAGGCUAUGAUUUCAUCACUGGGGAGGGAGGAAGGGAUCGGGAUGUGGGUCAUGCACAGAGCUCGGGGGGACGUGGGGGUCUCCCCCAGGAGCCUUCCUGUGAACCAGAGUGCAGUCCGCCUCCCGCUGGCUGCUGGCCGUGUCAGUCCCGGGGCCGGCCGGAACCGCAGGAGGAAGAGCGUCCUUUGGUUCGGGUGGAAAAGGCCCGAGAAAAUGGACAAUCGGAAAUAGUCGAGCAGCUUGGCCUGCGGGGGGCUUGAACGGGAAGCAGAAGUCGGGAUGUGACCAAGGCCGGGCCUGGUCCAGCCCUCACACGAGCAAGGUGCCUGGGGACCCAGCCCAGAGACAGGUGACUCAGAUUUGGCCUCCUUGAGGUGUGCCUGGCAGAGGCCCCCGAGAUUCCCACACCCUCCUUGUAGAGCUGGGAACGUGCCAGUGUCUCCGGAAUGGCCCAUCCACGGCGGGUGAUUGUUUCCAUGAGAUCACAGCUCUUCGUUCUUCAAAACCGUGUUUCCAGCCGCCUUGAAGGUCCUUGUGGGUGGCUCGCCAGGAAAGCCCCCAGCGGGCUACCUACCGCCCCUUGGAACUUGUUCAUGCCCUCUCUCCUCUGCACGGGGGAGCUGCCUGAGGACAGGAAAAGCAAACCAGGGUGUCUCUCCCACCAAGUUCAUGUCUGCAGCCUGCAGGCCGACAGGAGCGGCGGCUGAUGCUUUUCCCUCCUCUCUGUCUCUGCCGUUGACAGCCCGACACCCAGGAAAGCGUGCAAACCCAGUUAUCCACAGCUGUUGCCAAAGAUAUUUAUCACUUUUCAGCCCUCCACGUGACUCCUAGAUGAGACACCCAAAUGCACCUAAAUGGGGCCCUUUUCGCUUCCCGUUUGAAGUAAAAAUUUCCAAGCAACAUCUGACAUCAGGAUAAUGAUGACUCAGACUUUCCGACACUUAAGCCCAGAUCCACAUGUCCAAACAUCUAAGAUGAUGUUACGUGGUAUAUGAGUUCUGCCCCUGACUCCAACAGGCUGUUCACCUUGUGGCAUCUCCAAGGUCCUUACACGGUGCCGUGGUUCUGGAGGUCUCGCUUACGUGCCGCCUCAGUAUGGAGUCGUGGAAGGGACUCUAAACUAGACUGGAAGAGUGCAGAUCUAACCCAGAAAUGCCAGCAAGGGGUUGCGCUGUCCCAGGCACUCUCCUGGCCUCUCGGCAUUGCAGUCUGGUCAUUUGAAAAAUAGUCAGCAGUUUCCAAGCAUUUUGUAAAACAAAGAUCCCUUUGGCCAAACCAAAUCUUAAAUGGAGCCCCAGUGUAGGGCAGAUAAAUGCCGCGCUGAUUUGGUUGAGGCAGGACUGGAGCCCCAGAGUCCUACUCGCUCUCCUCCUUCCCGGUGCAAGAAGCCUGAAGGUCACUCUAGGAAGCUUUAGGGCUCCAUGGAACACAGUUGGAAAACCACUGAACUAGAGAGAGGCAGAGCAUGAGCAGAGGAGGGGAGAGAGAGAGACGGAGACACAGAAUCCGAAGCAGGCUCCGGGCUCCGAGCUAUCAGCGCAGAGCCCAACGCGGGGCUUGAACUCACGAGCUGUGAGAUUGUGACCUGAGCUGAAGUCGGACGCCCAACCGACCGAGCCACCCAGGCGCCCCAAGAGAUAACUAAGUUAAAAUGAGAUCACGAGGGCGGGCCUGAUUCCCAUAUGACUGGUGUCCUACGAAGAGGAGAUUAGGACACAGACACACACAGAGGGAAGACCGGGAGAGGACACGGCGGGGAAGGACCGCCACCUAGAAACCAAGGAGAGAGGCUUCAGAAGAAAUCAAACCUGCCAAGACCUUGCUCUCGGACUUCUAACCUCCUUGACUAGGAGAAAAUAAAUUUCUGUUUAAGCCACCCAGUCUGUGGUACUUUGUCAAGGCUGCCCUAUGAACUAAUAUCAUAAAAGCGGAGGGGAACAAUUUCCCCUACGGGUCACCAUUUUAAGGAAUCCUACUUAUUCCACUCUAAGAUGACGAGGAAACAUCGUAUAUCUCCUCUCAGACAGUCUGGGUCCAUGUUCUUCACAGAAGAGACGCACCUGUGGUCUCCCAGGGACUACGUCCCUGUCUUUGGGAGGAUAAGUGGCCUGUUCUUGAGUCUGGCCAUGUCUAGUUGGGGGGGGGGGGGUCUGAGUUCUGCAGGCAUCCACAGGAAUGGUGAUGCUGGGCUUGGUGACCGGAACGUCAGGAAGACCUCCCUCUGGCUCCUGGUCUGUCAAAGUCUGGCCACGGGAACAUUGAAGGCCUGCUGGGAAUAUAACCCAGGUUUUAUUUUUUCCUGAACAAACUGUGCUAACCUAGUGCCCAGAGUAAUAAUAGUUAUCGGUGGUGGAGGUGUGUGAAACUAGCAAUUUUCACUUCGCAGGAAUUUGGGAAAAUCACAGUUUUUCACCUUUGGAAACUGCCAUUUGGUUUCAUGAAAACUUCUAGGUGAAAAGAAAUGUAAGAGAAUAUUUUCCAGUUUUCGUGAACUGGAUUUUGGCAGAGGUGGGAACUCUCGUCAAUCUCAAUGGCAAGAGGGUCCAUCGUGGCAUAGGACUGCAAAACAAGUUGGUGGAAAACAAAAGGGGUGUGGAGAGGCCAUGCGGUGCCCUUAAUGUCCUUCCAAGGGCCUCUCUGGAGAAGGGGCAAGGCACGGCUGACACCAAGCUCUGGAAAAGCAAAGAGGGAUGUACGACUUUGGGACAAAUCACUGUGUUCUUUGGCAUCUUGCCAUGGGGUGUGAGGGAAAGGGGUAGGCUUAUUUAUCAUCUCGUUUAUGAAGGUCUCUUACCUUCCAAUCUCAGCGAUUGGCUGUGUUUAUGUGGCUCAUGCCUCCUUGGGGUUUUAAUCAUGUGGGGUUCAUUCAUUCAGCCACCUGCGUAGUUUCCCUUGUACAUCACAUGCGUGUGGUCACAAUAGACAUUGCACAGGUGUGUGUGUGUGUGUGUGUGUGUGUGUGUGUUUUGGAGGUGGGAGGAAGAUGGUAAAGUGGAGACAAGGCAUACAGCAGUAGAAUAAGACGUCACAUCUUUAUACGUGAGGAACUGGAAGUCUGUUGGAAGAGACAGAAUUCUUGCUCAGGAAAUAGCUGGAAAAGAGUGGUGGGGCAGGCAAAGAUACAGGACUAAACAAAUGAUGCCUGCUGAAUUGGACAAUAUGACCCAAGAGCCUUAACAUUGUAAUUGCUCUUCUGAGAAACUAUCCUAAGGAAACAGUCAGAAAUGCAGUCAAGGACAUUAAGAUCUUCUCUGUGCACUUAUUUACGAAUAGUACGAUGGUAUCCAACUUGGGUAUCAGCCUAAGCUGUAACAGUGAGUGGGAUUGGUUCAAUCAAUGAUGAUCCAGCCCAGAGGUCGGUAAACUAUGGCCCUUGGGCCAAU